GCUGAGUAAUAUUCCAUUGUGUAUAGGUACCACAUUUUCUUUAUCCAUUCAUCUGUUGAAGGGCAUCUAGGUUGGUUCCAUAGCUUUUGUGUGUUGGUCUGCUAUAGAUAUUGCUGUGGUACAUCACGGUAAUACACUGAUUUUAAGUCCUUUGAGUAUAAACUGAGGAAGGAUAGCUGGGUCAGAUGGUGAUUCCAGUCCAAGUUUUGUGAGGUAUUUCCAUACUGCUUUCCAUUAUUGGCUCCACCAAUUUGGAGUCCCACCAGCAAUGCAUGAGUGUACCUUUUCCCCCACAUCCUCGCCAACACUUAUUGUUGCUCUUAUUCUUAAUAAUUACCAUUCUGUACCAUUUUGACUUGAAUGAAAUGAAAUCUUAGAGUAGUUUUGAUUUGCAUUUCUCUAAUUGCUAGAGAUGAUGAACAUUUAUUCUUAUGUUUGUUGAUCAAUUGUAUUUAAAAGAAGAGACCACUUUAAAUAAAAGAUGUCUUGAGGUUGUGGUAGAGACAUUGUCUAGAACCUGUGAGGCCAUGGGUUCCAUACCCAGCACUUGUGGGGGUGUGGGGAGGAGGAGUAAUUCUUCCAUCUCUUUUCCAGCAACUCAUAAUAAUUUAGGACAACACUGGCAAGAUGCUGUCCAAAUUGCAAGAGUAUCAAAAUUAUUGAAGUCUGUCCUGUGGAAAAGAGGUAUAGGUUGGGUUUUGCAAAGAAGAAAUAAGACUUCUUUUGCUAUUAAUCCAAUUCCUGGUCACAUAUUUUAUAUCUUUGGUACUAAAACAUUCAAGUCCUAGGCUAGUUUAUGCUAGGUCUCCUCAAAUAUCUACUUGAAUAUGCAUGGGUGCGCGCACACACAUCUAUACACUUAUACAUAUAUGUGUGUGUGCAUGUAUGUGUGUGUGUGUGUGUGUGUCUGUAGUCCUGGAUAUGAAAACCAGAGACACUCUACAACUGAAUUACACCCCCAGAACUUUUUUAUUUUUUUUAUUUUGAGAAAAGUCUCACUAAAUUGCCCAGGCUGGCCUCAAACAUGCAAUUCUCUCCUGCCUUAGCCUCUCAAAUAACUGGAAUUGCAGGUGUGCUUCCAUUUGACUAUCUUACAUACACAUCCCCAAAUUUAAGUGUUGCUUGGUAUGGUCAUACAUAACUGUAUGAAACUGAAGCAGGAGGAUGACAACUUUGAGGCCAUUUCAGCAACUUAACAAGACCCUGUCUUAAUAUUCAGUUAUGAUAAGGGCUAGGGAUGUAGCUCAUUGCCGGAACAUCCCUAGGUUUCAUCCCCAGUAUUGAAAAACAGAAAAUUACAACAUCAAACAAGUGCCUGGUUUUUACCUCAAACUAUCUCUCUUCCUCCUGCCCCAUCAUUGCUAAAGCCUAAACCAUGAGAAACAAUCUUCACAGUUGCUUUUUACUCAUCCUCUCCUCUCUACCAAUGUAUCAUCGAGUUUAGUAGCAAACAAGAUCCUUCUCCAUAUAAAAUUUUUAAUUAAGUGAGAUUUAAAAAUACAAACAGGAUUCAGAGAGAAUAAAAUUAUCUCUGGGUAUGGCCCCACAUACCCACCCAUAGUCCAAGCUCCUUGGCAAACUAAACCAGGAUGAGCACUUGAGCCUAGUAGCUAGAGGCCAGCCUAGGCAGCACAGCCAACCUGCCCUAAAAAAAAACAAAACAAACAAACAAAAAAGGAAAACCAUCAGUUAUACUAAUGGCAAAUCUGUACUGCAAAAUUGGGCUUACAGUAAGGAAAAAAUGUUGCUACUUACUCUGGGCUGAUCAUGCCCUAAGAGGAUAAUUGGUCAGCUUGUCCAGGAUCAGGGCCUGCCUCAGCCUAGUACAGAAGGCAAAGACAGAUGAGCUACACCUGAGAAAUGUCUCAGUGGUCUUAUUCUCCCAGGAAAGAAACUUUAAUGUAAAGGAGGUCGGAUUUUCAUUUCAGGAAUGACAGCAGGGGACGUAGCUCAGUGGCAGAGCACUUGCCCAGCACUCACAAGUUUGAGUGAGUUUGACCACCAGGACCACCAAAAAUAAAACUUAAAUUAAAAAGCAGCAGCAAAUACUUUGACUCUUCACCCCUAGAGAGAAGAAACCUGUGAAAAGUGAUGCAACAAGAGUUUCUUCAUCAAUUCCAAGGAAGAACAAAAAUAGACUAACGUAAAAAAAAAAAAGAGGGGGGUGGGGGAAGAGAUCUCUGGGUGAAUUGGCACACACAAACCUGUAAUCCAGAGACUAGGGAAGCUGAGGUGGGAGGAUCUCAAGCUUGAGUUGUGCCUGGACAAUUUAGUGUGGCCCUGUCACAAAAUAAAAAAUAAAAAAAGAUUGGGGAUAUAGCUCAGGUGCAAAAUGCUCCUGGAUGAUAUGAUAGACAUGCUCUUUUACAUAUGGAAGGAGAUUGUACAUCAUUUUACCUGAUUUUCUGGCUCUUCCUUUGUAUCUCUCCCCAUCAUCACAUUUCAUAUUGGAAAUCUGCACAUAUGUGGUGACAAAAUGAACCAGAGGACAAAGCUCAGAGAUGAGUAUGGACUUUUCUAUGCUCUGCCCAAAGGUCUUUCAGGCUGAAGGCCUCUCCACAGAGCUGGCAGCUGAAGUGCUUCUCACCCUAUGAUUUUCUGGUGGCCUGGGAGACUGAACAACACCUCAAAGUUUGGUUCCAUUGGAAGCACUCAAAGGACCUGGUCCCUAUGUACACUGUUUGACAAGUGGCUAGCUGACUGUGGCAGCUCAGCACCUUCCUGCAAAAUGCCACAGAUAGACCCAUGAUCUUUAGCCUGGUACGGUACUUGUAAUUCUCCCUGGGGACUUGCCGCCAUUUGUAGGAGUUUCCACACACCUUGACAUGGAGAGCCACAGGCUUGUCCAUUUUCCUCCCCAAAGCAGCUCUGUGAAGGUACAUGUUAGCUGUGGUCUGAAGGAAGAUCUUCCUGAAGCCAGCCAUAUUCUGGGAUCUUCCCCACAGGAGGACUUCUUAGGAGACUAGGCCAGCCAAUCACAGCACCUCUUCUCAUCAACAGGCUUUCUUGCAAGAAUAAGGAAGAUGUGAGAUGCUGAACUGGCUACUUGCUGUUUUAUUUCUCAAACUACCGAACAUUUAUCUACAGUAAUUUGGCCAUGAGUAUUCCUCUGGGUAAUGACAAAUGUGCUUUUUCUAGAUUAAAUCUUUGCUAUUUGCCAAGUAACUGGAUGUGUCAGUGUCCGCAUUCUUUUCUUACUUUCUGAUCUGUUUCUUGUGUUGGGAGGGAGUAGCCAUACUGACAGCUGCUUCUGACCACAGUUCCAGGUUUUGCUAUUACAGUUUUUUAAAAUUAUUUCUCAACUCUUCCCUCCUCUUUUUUUUGGGGGGGAGUGUGGUUUAAAGUAGCAUGUUAUUACUUCUUGUCUCCUGACUUUAAUGAUAUCCAAGUCCAAGACAAAGGAAAGAUUCAGAAUACAUCCUACUUCUAAAGGGAAUGCAAAUGCUGGAAUUAAGAGGAUCACCCUCUUUAGUCAUGUGCAGAGGUGCACACCUGCAAGCCUAGCAACUUGGGAGGCUAAAAAAGGAAAAUUUCAAAUUCAAGGUCAUCCCAGGAAAUUUAUAAAAGACCCUGUGUCAAUAAAUAAUAAAAGGGCUGGGAGUGUGUCUCAUUCAUACAGUGUCCCAGGGUUCAAGUCCCCAAUGCCACCCACUUUGUCAUUGUUAGUUCUUUGAGAGGUGAAGAGGAAAAUUUUUGAUAGUUCUAUAAAACAUUUUCUUGUUCCUCUAUGCUGGGUAUUGAACCUCAGCAUGCUACACUAGUGUUCUACAGUGAGCAAAGUUCCCAGCCCACUGUCAAAGUUUUUUGGUUUCUUUGUGUGUUUGUAAUACUGAACAUUGAACCCAAGGCCUCACACAUCAC
rnacentral:lncRNA from 1 species